GAUAAAUGCUGGCGGCGUGCCUAAAACAUGCAAGUCGAACGGGUCCGAUUUAUCGGACCAGUGGCGGACGGCUGAGUAACACGUGGGUGACCUACCUCCGAGCGGGGGAUAACUGCCCGAAAGGGUAGCUAAUACCGCAGACGUCAAUGGAGCAUACCGUUGACUAAACUCGCAAGGGGCUUGGAGAGGGGCCCGCGGCCGAUUAGCUUGUUGGUGGGGUAACGGCCUACCAAGGCGACGAUCGGUAGCUGGUCUAAGAGGAUGAUCAGCCAGACUGGGACUGCGACACGGCCCAGACUCCUACGGGAGGCAGCAGUUAGGAAUUUUGGGCAAUGGGGGAAACCCUGACCCAGCAACGCCGCGUGGGUGACGAAGGCCUUCGGUUG
rnacentral:rRNA from 1 species